UGUUAAAUUGCAGCCGCGUUCAGUUGCUUCUAAUUUUAAAUUGCAGCCGCUUUCGGCUGCCUAUACUUAAUUGCCGGCACAUCAGCUGCCUAUAUUGGUUUAUUGCAGCCUAUAUUUUAUUACACAGCAGCCGUGUUCGGGCUUGCUUUUUAUUCAUUGUACAGCUGUGUUCAGCUGCCUAUAUUUUAUUACACAGCAGCCGUGUUUGGGCUUGCUUUAUCAUUCAUUGGGCAGCCGUGUUCGGCUUGCUUCAUUAAGUGUUGCAACCUUGCUGGUUUGUACUUCUUCUGUAGCUACGGUGAUCGUAGUGCUCCUUGCAGCCUUUUACGCUGCUGAGGAACCCCUGGUGGCGUUUUCUGCUCAACCGGGUUUUCUGGCCUAUUCGUUCGUCGGCUUAAGUGUCAAGGGUGACGAUUUCAGCUCGACCUGACCUUGUCCUGUGAGCAUAAGAUGCUGGACAAGCCCUAGUGCAGAGCGUGUAUGGCCCCUCUCCAGUCGAAGGAUGGGUAUUAUCUGUGUCCUUCUUGUCUGGAACCAGAUCACCAUAGAGAAGCCUUGACUGACGAUACGAUGCUAUAUCCCUAGUAUCUGAUACUGAUUUUCAACAUCAAUUGACUCUGGCUCACAUCUGUCAGCAGCCAGUUCACGUAUCUCUUCCGGCUCUCAGUCGGAAGAGGACGGUUUGAUAGUGGGCGCUUUGAGAACUGCUCUUGCCCGGUUGUAGCUGGAUGCUCAACCGAACCGAUCUGCGGCUUCUGGUGCUUUCUUUCGACGUCCUAUUACUAGGUCGUCCUUUGUUUCCCCAUUGCUGAAUAUGAGAAGUUGGUUCGUGCCUGUUGGGCGGACACCAAGGCCUCUUCGCUGCUGACCUCUGAUGGCAGGGCCCUGGCGGCCAUGCAAGACGUGCCCAAGUUUGGCUUGGGCCAUAUGCCUUCCUUCGAACAUGCCAGUGCAUCCCUCAUUGUGAUGCCGGAGCAGGCUUUGAGAUCUAAUGCCUGUAGUCCUCGUCCUCAGUGCCAUGUGACUGCUGAUCUACUCUGUAGAGUCUGACUUGGUAACUCAUUGUCGCAUUUGUUACUGGUCUCUCAGCCUCUCUGGAGGCUCCGUGAUUGAGACACCCUUACAUGCUUUUUCUCUUUUGUCAAUGUAAGUUGGCCGUGUCCUGUCUACCGUUGUUGAAGCACGCCGCAAAGUUGGUUGGCUCAGUCUCCUCUAACCGAAGCCUGUAGAGGGACCCUGAUGAGUCUUCCAGUGAUUCCUGGGGAGUUAUUUGGCUCUGCUGCGCUUGCAGCCUUGGAGCGAUCAACCCAGGCUUUGUGUACAAGGCAGCAGCUGGCAAGCCUGCAUCGCAGGCGAUUGUGGCGUCCUGCUGGGAGUGCCUCUGCGUCACUUUAACGCACUUAUCCUGCCCCAACUACACCCUCUGUGGGGCAACCACGGCCUGCUUAUGGCCAGUGCAUCACCGAGCUGGCGGUGGGACACUUUACCCAGGACUAGCUCAGCUGCUGGACCGCUCUCGUUUCUGAUCCAUUGGUGGUGUCUACACUUGCCCAGGGUUACGCGCUACAGUUGCGCCACCGCCCUCCUGUUCCUGGUCGAGUCAGGAUGACGGGAAUUCGCUACCAGGUAAAGGCUCAGACUCUGAGCCACGAGAUGGGUGCCUUGCUGGCCAAGGGUGGUAUGUUGCCUGUUGACCCCCUGCAGGACCCAGGGAGCUUUUAUUUAUACUUAAGUAUUUUUAUUGGUCCCAAAAAAGGCUGGUGGACUCUGCCCAAUUUUGGACCUGAGAGGUCUGAAUGUUCUUUCAAGACCAUCCCUUUCCACAUGUUGGGCAUCAGGGGUGUGCUUCAGACAAUCUUCUCCAGGCAAGUGGUUCACCCUGGUUGACCUGAGGGAUGCAUACUUCAGGUCCCAAUCGCACCAUGUCAUUGGCAGUUUUCUCCGCUUUGCAUUUCAGGGCAAGCCUUUGUCCGGGGUUCUCCCAUUCGGUCUUUCUGUCCGCACGUAUGCUUGGUGCGUGGCUGCGACACUGUGUCCUCUGCAGGCCAAGGGGUUAAAGAUCCUGCCCUACUUGGACGAUUGGCUCAUCUGUGCGCCCACAGAAGCUCAAGCUACUGCAGGCACGAGCACAUUACUUGACCAUAUAGACCUAUUGGGUCUACGUGUGAACUGGCAGGAGAGUAACUUAGUUCCAUCUCAAGAGGUCACAUUCUUAGAAUCACAAUGGACUCCCUCACUGUGACUGUUCGCCCAUCGCCUCAGCCUGUCGAGGGCAUUCUGCAUAUGCUGCCCGACUUUCUGCCUGGCCGUGCACCCCUUUUUAUUGCUUAUCUUCAUCUGUUGGGCAAGCUGGCUACUGCCGCUACAGUAAUACCCCUGGGACUGUUGUCUCUGCGACCACUGCGGAUGUGGUUCACAGCCUGUGGCUGGACCCUUCUUGUACGCUGCGCCAUCGCACACUGGGUGUCCUCUCACUGCCUCGCAUCAGUGGCGAAAUGCAGUAUUAAUGACAAAGGGGUUCCACUUGGUUGGCCGCCGUCUCGACAAGAGGUUGUCUCUACCAGCGCGUACGCCACGGUAUGGGGCGUGGCAGCGACGGAUCGCCUGGGGACAUGGUCUCUCCGGAGAAAAACUGCAGCACAUCAACACCUUGGAGUCAGUCUGUGCAGCGGGCGUUGCAACACUUCCUCCCAGACCGGUGCGGACGGCAUGUCUUGGUGCGAACGGCAUGUCUUGGUGUAGUCGGACAAUACUUAAGUGGUUUUUCAUCAACCAUAAAGGUGGGACACAGUCGUUAACAUUGCUGUGGCUGACCCAGAAGCUCUUGACCUGGGCAGCCCCUCUUCUCGCCAGCCUGAGAGCUGCCUACAUUCCAGGGGUGCAGAUGUUUCGGCAGAUAUUCUGUCUCGGGGACGCCCACCACCGGGGGAGUGGAGACUCCACCCGGAGGUAGUGGGGUCAUUUCGGAGAUGUACGGCAAAGCAGCUGUAGAUCUACUUGCGUCCGAAGAGACGACAUAUUGCCCACUUUAGUUCUCCCUGGCAGACAAUGCCAGUCCCCUGGGUCAAGACGCACUGGCACAUGACUGGCUGUGAGUGCUGCUCUGAACUUUUCCGCCGUUUCCCAUGAUAGGCCCAACACCCCUAAGGGUCCUUCAGGAGGGGCAUCGGGUCCUUCUAGUGGCCCCCUGGUGGCCAGGGAGAAUCUGGUUUCCUUUGCUGCACAGGCUCUUUUGCAGCUCUCCAAUGCCUCUUCCCCACAGGAAGGACCUUCUGUCACAGCUGGGGGGUCAGAUCCUGCAUCCCAAUACCAGUUGCCUCCAGGCCGUAACAAGGAUGUUUUGUGUGUCUGAGAGGUGCCCGAUGUUUGCACCCUCCCACAUGCCCUGUUGUGCCUGUGUGAGACCUCUGUCUCUCGUCCUCACUGCCCUACGAUCUCCUCCGUUUGAACUGUUGGCAGAGGCAAGCCUUAAGUGUGUGUCAAAAAACUUUCUCCUUGGCUUCGGCGAAGCGGGUCAGGAAGCUACGUGUGUUGUCUAUUCACAAGCCCUGUUGCCAUGGGAAUCCAGCUGGUGUUAUUCUCUGGCCUGAUGUUGGGUUUCUUCCUAUUGUGGCCUCAUUUGCGGGCCACACUGUGCCCCUCCAGCUUGCUUCCCUUUAUACGAAUGGGCCUGAGCCUUUCUGCCCUGUUCAGGCACUGAAGGCAUAUGUCAGACUCACAGCUUCUCUGCGGCAGUCUGAUAAUCUGUUUGUUUGCUACUCAGGGCCCUGUGAAGGGCAGGCUCCUUGUAAACAGCGUAUUGCACGUUGGAUUGUGGACGUGGUGGAACAAGCGUACGUUCUACAGGUCCACCAACCCCCUGCUGGUGUACGGUGCCAUUCCACCAGAAGCAUUAGUGUGUCAUGGCCACUAUGGCAGGGGUCACUCUGGAGGCUAUAUGUGCAGCAGCCUCGUGGUCAUCCCUGAAUACCUUUGCUAGGUUUUAUAGGGUUAACUUGGCCGACUUUCACCCUUUGGUGGGGAUCCUAUCCCGGCACGCAUCGUCAUACCAGUGAGGUGGGCGUGUUUUCGGGGUUGUUUUCUUCUGUGUGAUUCCUCAGAACUCUGUUGGUUAUCGUCAUCCAGUGCUUUAAGCACAGCCUCUGGCGGUCAGUAGGGAUGAAAUAGAACAAAAGUUACUACUGUAACUACGGUUCUAUGAAACCCGGAUGACCGCCAGAGCGCUCGGUCCCUCGGAAUCAUCGUGUUGUUUGCGAGAAGAUUAAGGGACUGAGCUGUGUUUGUCACGUGAUUAUAUGGUCUUACCGGUGUCACCGGGGGUCACACGUUACCAUCAUGGUAUAAAAUUCUCGACCUGUGCAUGCGCAAGAGUGAUCAUUCAGUGCUUUAAGCACCGCCUCUGGCGGUCAUCCGGGAUUCAUAGAACCGUAGUUACAGUCGUAACUUUCGUUUCCCAAGUAUUUAAAGAGUGACGCGCUAAGGAAUUUUUUUUUUAACACUUGGAGGCAGUAAAUGGUCCUUUGGAUGUACGAGUACGGGUUGUGUCCGUUACCGUUAGAAACUACGUAUAUCUGGGCCGUGACAGCAAAAUAUAAAUAUUACUGAGCUACCUUUGUGUAUUUAGGCCUAGUUUAAGGAGAACCCUCUGGAGUGGUACUCUCCUUUUACAAGCCUGAUUUCACCUGUGUUGUCUUCAUAUUUGUCAUUGAAUGCUGUGCUGGACUGAGCCUCUAUGGACUUUGGGGUGAUGGAAGAUGCUGAAGAGAUCUGCAGACACAGAGGGCCAUCAUCUGAGCUGCUGACUUCAUACAAUGCGAGGAAAUGAAUUACGUGGGAAUCAGGAAGGCAGAACUCCCGUUGGAGAUCCAGGACUUCAGUGCUGGUGAAGAGCUUCCUAGGGACACCUGAAGAUAGGAUAGAGAGGCCAGAUGCAAAGCAUGUGCAGGACCCUGCAGAAUUCUGGCAUCUUUCUACACCACCAAUCAGAAGCAGGAAGAGAAAACGAUGAUCUCCAGGAAGAAACUCCUUUCAUACGACUCCAGCAGAGGACCUGCUCCACCUCCUGAUCUACUGAUGAUGAUACUUUGGAGGAAAAGGCUGAGACAAUCGCCCUGGGACGAUGAAGAAAGAGAAGACCCAGAGGACAGAUUCAAGGAUCUAAUGAUGACCAGCUUCCUGUCAGGACGGACAGAUAAGACGGAUUGAAUCUCAUCAGUCUGUGAACUUCCACCCAAUCACCACCAGUCAGGAAGAGGAAGAGUGGACAGAAAAAAGCAAGAAAUCUUUUCUCCACGACAUGAUGAGCAGAACAUUAGAAAUGGUAUAGACCACAUGCCGUCCUGGAACCCGAUCCUAGAAGAACCAUCCUUUUGUUCUGUUGGAUCAAUAAACCGUUUAAACGAUCUUCUGUUGUCUGAAGUUGUUGCCUGUACAAGGGUCCCAUAAACAAUCACCAUGAC